CCACAGCAGUGACAGCACCAGAUCCUUAACCCACUAAUCCACCAGGGAACUCCACUGGGAACUCUUUUUGCCAAGUAUCUCUUGCUGCCAGCCCCACUCCUCUCCAGGAUCUGCACUGUUUUCCUUCUGGACUUCAACGGGCUCUACCAAGUCUCGCAACUGCUCUCAUAGAAUUAAUUCCUCCUGCGCCCAACGUCUUCUCCACGGAAUCAUCAGAAUUCCCUUUCUGCAACCACCUGGGAUCAUAUCAGUCUAUGUUCAAAGCACCUGGUGGUCCCCAAAUUCAUAAGGCUGGUACCUGGGGGGCCUGUCCCCAUGGCCCUGCUCCAUUUAUGCUCGCCCCACCCAUCUGAGCUUCUUGCCCUGGAAAUUCCACACUGUUCCUUGACUCCAAGCCUUGGUAUAUGCUAAGCCUUCUGCCUGGCACAGAAUUCUCAGAAGGCUUGUCACUUGCCAGGGAGCCCUAACAGAGUGGUCUGAAGUUCAGGAAAAAGAAGAAAAGCAAAGGAAGAAGGGAAGAGGGCAGACAGCGGAGGAUUUGCUGCAGUUGGGUUUUCAAGAACAAAAAAUACACAUAGGGGAGGCAUGGGAUCCUUCCUUCCCAAACAUAUUUCCUUUUGGCCUGAGAUGUUACAAGACUCCAAAUUGGAGCUUGUCUUGUCUCCUCCAAAAAAAAAAAAAAAAAAAAAAGACCUGUCUCACUGGCUCCUUGCAGAGGUAGAUUUAUAAACCAAAGAAGAUGGGUAUAUAUACACAAUGGAAUAUCACUCAGCCGUUAAAAGGAAAGAAAUAAUGGCACUUUUAGCAACAUGGAUGGACCUAGAAAUUAUCAUGCUAAGUUAAGUCAGUCAGACAAUGAGACACCAACAUCAAAUGCUAUCAUCUACAUGUGGACUCUAAAAAAAGACACAAUGAACUUCUUUGCAGAACAGAUACUGACUCACAGACUUUGAAAAAUUUACAGUUUUCAAAUGAGACAGGCUGGGGGUGGGGGUGGGGGAAUGGACUGAGGGUUUGGGAUGGACAUGCUAUAAAAUUUGGUUGUGAUGAUUGUUGUACACCUGUAAAUGUAAUACAAGUCAUUAAGUAAUAAAAAUAAAUCUAUGCAGAAUCUAUAAAUAAAU
rnacentral:lncRNA from 1 species